rnacentral:rRNA from 1 species
UACGAGCCACACAAACGUUAUUCGGAAUCACUGGGCUUAAAGGGUGCGUAGGCGGCGCGGAAAGUUGGGUGUGAAAUCCCUUGGCUUAACCAAGGAACGGCGCCCAAAACUACCGUGCUCGAGGGAGACAGAGGUGAGCGGAACUCAGGGUGGAGCGGUGAAAUGCGUUGAUAUCCUGAGGAACACCGGUGGCGAAGGCGGCUCACUGGGUCUCUUCUGACGCUGAGGCACGAAAGCUAGGGGAGCGAACGGG